rnacentral:rRNA from 1 species
GCUCAGAACGAACGCGGGCGGCGUGCCUAACACAUGCAAGUCGUGCGGGAAAGUGGGGGCAACCCUGCGAGUACAGCGGCGCACGGGUGAGUAACGCGUAGGUAACCUACCUUCGAGCUUGGGAUAACCUGUCGAAAGAUGGGCUAAUACCGAAUAAGACCACGAGGGCUGCGGCUCUUGGGGUAAAAAGUGGCCUCUGCUUGCAAGCUACUACUCAAAGAUGGGCCUGCGCGCCAUUAGCUAGUUGGCGGGGUAACGGCCCACCAAGGCAGAGAUGGCUAGCUGGUCUGAGAGGAUGGCCAGCCACACUGGGACUGAGACACGGCCCAGACUCCUACGGGAGGCAGCAGUGGGGAAUAUUGCGCAAUGGGCGAAAGCCUGACGCAGCGACGCCGCGUGGGUGAUGAAGGCCUUCGGGUCGUAAAGCCCUGUCAGGAGGGACGAAACCUCGACGAUCUAAUACAUCGUCGAACUGACGGUACCUCCGAAGGAAGCACCGGCUAACUCCGUGCCAGCAGCCGCGGUAAUACGGAGGGUGCGAGCGUUGUUCGGAAUUACUGGGCGUAAAGCGCGUGUAGGUGGCCUACUAAGUCUGGUGUGAAAGCCCGGGGCUCAACCCCGGAAGUGCACUGGAGACUGGAAGGCUCGAGUACCGGAGAGGAGGGUGGAAUUCCUGGUGUAGCGGUGAAAUGCGUAGAUAUCAGGAGGAACACCGGUGGCGAAGGCGGCCCUCUGGACGGAUACUGACACUGAGACGCGAAAGCGUGGGGAGCAAACAGGAUUAGAUACCCUGGUAGUCCACGCUGUAAACGAUGGGCACUAGGUGUUCGGGGUAUUGACCCCCUGAGUGCCGCAGCUAACGCAUUAAGUGCCCCGCCUGG